rnacentral:rRNA from 1 species
GUUGAACGCUGGCGGCAUGCUUUACACAUGCAAGUCGAACGGUAACAGGUUAAGCUGACGAGUGGCGAACGGGUGAGUAAUGCAUCGGAACGUGCCCGGUCGUGGGGGAUAACGCAGCGAAAGCUGCGCUAAUACCGCAUACGAUCUGAGGAUGAAAGCGGGGGACCGUAAGGCCUCGCGCGAUCGGAGCAGCCGAUGUCAGAUUAGGUAGGUGGUGGGGUAAAGGCUCACCAAGCCAACGAUCUGUAGCUGGUCUGAGAGGACGACCAGCCACACUGGGACUGAGACACGGCCCAGACUCCUACGGGAGGCAGCAGUGGGGAAUUUUGGACAAUGGGCGAAAGCCUGAUCCAGCAAUGCCGCGUGCAGGAAGAAGGCCUUCGGGUUGUAAACUGCUUUUGUACGGAGCGAAAAGGUCUCCUCUAAUACAGGGGGCUCAUGACGGUACCGUAAGAAUAAGCACCGGCUAACUACGUGCCAGCAGCCGCCGUAA